rnacentral:rRNA from 1 species
UCCAGACUCCUACGGGAGGCAGCAGUGGGGAAUAUUGCACAAUGGGGGAAACCCUGAUGCAGCAACGCCGCGUGAGUGAAGAAGUAUUUCGGUAUGUAAAGCUCUAUCAGCAGGGAAGAAAAUGACGGUACCUGACUAAGAAGCUCCGGCUAAAUACGUGCCAGCAGCCGCGGUAAUACGUAUGGAGCAAGCGUUAUCCGGAUUUACUGGGUGUAAAGGGAGCGCAGGCGGUACGGCAAGUCCGAUGUGAAAACCCGGGGCUCAACCCCGGGACUGCAUUGGAAACUGCCGCACUAGAGUGCCGGAGAGGUAAGUGGAAUUCCUAGUGUAGCGGUGAAAUGCGUAGAUAUUAGGAGGAACACCAGUGGCGAAGGCGGCUUACUGGACGGUAACUGACGCUGAGGCUCGAAAGCGUGGGGAGCAAACAGGAUUAGAUACCCUAGUAC